UUUUCUAAAAAAAUCCAAAGUUUACUCCCCAUUUCUCCUUUCAAACCACAACCAUGGCAAUCCACGGCCAUAUAGCCACCCAUACGACAACUCUUUGCCCAGAGGUUUUUCCUCUAAAAAGGAAAACCUGUGGAACCUAUGGUGUUUCGGGGGAGAAAGAAAAAAAAUUAAGGGAAUGAGCAUCAAUGUUGAAGCUAUUAUGGCCUUCUGAUGAAAUUUUCUUUGCACUUGCAAGGAAGCCUUUAAUUUCUUCAAAUAAAUCUAUUAAGGGGAAGCUAAAUCAAGGCUUCGAUGAAUGUAUAAGUGUCAGAUUGAAGAUCAAAGAAUAAAAGAUUGGAAGGAUCAGGUUUUAUUUGCAAAGAUCAAGAAGGCAAAGGGAUCAUAGCUGGCUGCCAUAGUUGGGAAACUCUGGACAAGGUGGCAAUUAAUUGUCUGGCUGUCAAAGCUUUGGAACAGUAAGAAACAAAGGAUUUAUAAAGAUUAUUAUUUUUCUAGGUAAUGCUUAAGUAGAGGCCUUAUAUCAGAACACAAGGGUUCCUAGAUGGCUUACUCAACAUAGGCUGGCAAAUGGAAGGAAUAUGGUUUGGAAUGGUUGAUAAGAGAGUGCUUAAGAAAGCAAAUGAUUUUGGGUGGUAGAUCACAGACAAUGUUUGAAAUUAAGACUACUUGCUCAAAUACUAUAGCAGAGAAGAGUUGGGUGUUACUAAUAUUUCAACCAAAGUGAAAUAUCCAAGCUACAUACUUUAUCAUAGCAGAGGAUUUUCAUUUUUUAGUUGGGAUUGUUGUGUAGCUACCAUUAUUGCCUUUUAUUUUAUGCAAAGUGAUGUUGUACUCU